rnacentral:rRNA from 1 species
AGAUUGAACGCUGGCGGCAGGCCUAACACAUGCAAGUCGAGCGGCAGCACGGGUACUUGUACCUGGUGGCGAGCGGCGGACGGGUGAGUAAUGCCUAGGAAUCUGCCUGGUAGUGGGGGGAUAACGCUCGGAAACGGACGCUAAUACCGCAUACGUCCUACGGGAGAAAGCAGGGGACCUUCGGGCCUUGCGCUAUCAGAUGAGCCUAGGUCGGAUUAGCUAGUUGGUGAGGUAAUGGCUCACCAAGGCGACGAUCCGUAACUGGUCUGAGAGGAUGAUCAGUCACACUGGAACUGAGACACGGUCAGACUCCUACGGGAGCAGCAGUGGGAAUAUUGACAAGUGGGCGAAAGCUGAUCCAGCCAUGACCGCGUGU